AUUGAACGCUGGCGGCAGGCCUAACACAUGCAAGUCGAACGGUAACAGGAAGCAGCUUGCUGCUUUGCUGACGAGUGGCGGACGGGUGAGUAAUGUCUGGGAAACUGCCUGAUGGAGGGGGAUAACUACUGGAAACGGUAGCUAAUACCGCAUAACGUCGCAAGACCAAAGAGGGGGACCUUCGGGCCUCUUGCCAUCGGAUGUGCCCAGAUGGGAUUAGCUAGUAGGUGGGGUAACGGCUCACCUAGGCGACGAUCCCUAGCUGGUCUGAGAGGAUGACCAGCCACACUGGAACUGAGACACGGUCCAGACUCCUACGGGAGGCAGCAGUGGGGAAUAUUGCACAAUGGGCGCAAGCCUGAUGCAGCCAUGCCGCGUGUAUGAAGAAGGCCUUCGGGUUGUAAAGUACUUUCAGCGGGGAGGAAGGGAGUAAAGUUAAUACCUUUGCUCAUUGACGUUACCCGCAGAAGAAGCACCGGCUAACUCCGUGC
rnacentral:rRNA from 1 species